GACGAACGCUGGCGGCGUGCCUAAUACAUGCAAGUAGAACGCUGAAGAGAGGAGCUUGCUCUUCUUGGAUGAGUUGCGAACGGGUGAGUAACGCGUAGGUAACCUGCCUUGUAGCGGGGGAUAACUAUUGGAAACGAUAGCUAAUACCGCAUAACAAUGGAUGACACAUGUCAUCUAUUUGAAAGGGGCAAUUGCUCCACUACAAGAUGGACCUGCGUUGUAUUAGCUAGUAGGUGAGGUAAUGGCUCACCUAGGCGACGAUACAUAGCCGACCUGAGAGGGUGAUCGGCCACACUGGGACUGAGACACGGCCCAGACUCCUACGGGAGGCAGCAGUAGGGAAUCUUCGGCAAUGGGGGCAACCCUGACCGAGCAACGCCGCGUGAGUGAAGAAGGUUUUCGGAUCGUAAAGCUCUGUUGUAAGUCAAGAACGGGUGUGAGAGUGGAAAGUCCACACUGUGACGGUAGCUUACCAGAAAGGGACGGCUAACUACGUG
rnacentral:rRNA from 1 species